ensembl:ncRNA lncRNA:CR45574 long non-coding RNA:CR45574
AAUAUAAAUAAAUUUCAUAGCUGAAAUGACUUACUUACUAACGGCAAUGAAAUUCAAUAUUCAAUAUUUCGAUUUUCGCCCUCUCCAGUUGCCGUCUGUGUGUAUUGCCACCGCUGCUCGCGACAUUGUGGCAACUGCAACUCUAUUAGGAUCCAUCAAUGUCAGCCAAUUUAUGCGCAUAUUAAAAAUGCGGUCUGCCGAUGACAAACACACCAACAGCAAGGCUCCAAGGAGCACCAAGUAGUGCUGUUGCAGGAAGAUGAAAGAGAAGGACGCGACAAGGACUUGGCCAGUUCGCACGUGGCGCUUACAUUGGCAAACAUAUGACGAUGCGCGAAAUGGAGGAACUACUCUGCAACGUGACAGGAGCAGAAGCGCAAAGAAGACCAGAAGCAGCUGGAGGACUCGGUAGUGCUAUCGAAAAGGGUUCGGAAUACACUUGAAAAAAAUAAAAGCAAGCUUAUAAGAGGUUAUAC